rnacentral:lncRNA from 1 species
CUGGGAUAGAGCAGUGCCACCAAGUCUAUCCUGCAGACUCUGGCAGAGCAAUGGAUGAAUGAAGUAUGCUGACACAGAUCACCCCAGGUAACUGUCUCUCCACAUCAAUCUAUUGAUUCUCACUGCAUGGAGUGAAGAAGAAACCACCAGAUCAGCAUAUCUGGACCAGCCACAUUUCAAGUCUCAGUAGCCACAGGAGCACUAGUAGCUACCUUUUUGGACAGCACAGAUGUGAAGAGUUCCAGCUGACCUUCUCCCUGACUCAGUGCUGCAUGGAGAUCAAUAACCUAGGUUUGAAGAAUCAGGUUUCCAUAAAACUCUGCUCCACCACUUAUUGUGUGAGUCAUUGAACAAGUUACUUAACAUGUCUGAUCCUCAGUUUUCUCAUUUGUAAAAUGGGGAGAAUGAUGCUUAGCUUAUGAGGUGGUGAUGAGUUCUGUAUGAAUCCUC